UUGUGAAUAUGUGACAUGAUACAUGAAGGUUUAAUGCCGUAAGCAGUCGGCCAUUAAAGGUUUUUUCUGAAGGUUCAUCUUAAAUUAAAAGAGUAUCCAAUCUUCUAAAGAAAACUAUUUGGUAUCGCAAUGGGGAGAAAGAAGAAAAAGCCUUCAAAACCUUGGUGCUGGUAUUGCAAUCGAGACUUCGAUGAUGAAAAAAUUCUUUUACAACAUCAGAAAGCUAAACAUUUCAAGUGUCAUAUAUGCCACAAAAAACUUUAUACAGGACCUGGACUAUCUAUACACUGCAUGCAGGUACACAAAGAAACACUUGACCGAGUGCCGAACUCUCUUCCCAACAGAGGAAACAUUGAAAUAGAAAUUUAUGGCAUGGAAGGAAUCCCAGAAUCUGAUAUUAGAGAUCAUGAAGCCCAAAAACAAGCUGGCAGAAUUACAACUGCUGCAGGUGCAGACAGUAGUGAUGAAGAAGGAGGUUCUUCAGCGAAACGGGCAAAGACAGCUCAACCUGCAGUUCAAGAAUCAUCAACACCAAGUAUUCAAUCCAUUGGAACCAUGCCGAUAACCCCAAUGCUUGCAUCUCCUUUCAUGGGAAUGGGUCCCAUGAAUCCAUACUUAGGACAUUUACCCUUACCAAUGAUGGGAUCUGUGCCACAAAUGCCUCUCCCUGGUGGGGCGGUUUCAUCACCUCAGACACCAUCUAAGCCUCUUUUUGCAUCCUCUAGUAGUCCUUCAUCAAGCAACAGUGCCUCCAAACCAGCAUUUGCUGCAUAUGGUUCUGGUGGUGCUGGGGCAACUAUUGUUGGUGAAUCAACUGUUCCAAAAAAGUCAGGUGUCAUUGCUACUCAAGCUGGUUCCAGCAAAAUAAUGCACCCAGAAGAGGAUCUCUCAUUGGAAGAGUUGCGAGCCAGGUGCCAUCGAUAUCAAAGAAGCGCUGUACCUACAAGUAUGCCUCAGGUAUCGAUUGCCAGCCCACAAAGUGCUACUGUUACUCCUGUCAGCUCUGUAAGCAGCGGACAAAUGGGCUUGCCAAUGGGGCAUCUCCCAGCCGGGAUGAUGAUCCCGAUGCCUAUGACGCACAUGGCGCUCCCCCCGCAUAUGCAAAUGGGAAUGGCCCCUAUGGGACUUCUCCGAGCACCGCACAUGCAUCCUGGCAUGCCUGGAGGAUUCUCUCCAUAUGGUGCCCCUCUUGGUUUUCCGAUGAUGCCACCGCGCUUCCGGGCUUCCCAUGAUAGCCUAAUCAAAUGAUUUAAGGUUCUUCGGUGUGCAAAAUCUGACGCGUUGCAGCGUUUGGUUAUAUUUGAGUCUUUUUGAUUAAUAAAUAUUAUUCAGUUUUUUGUUGAAGAGAAAAAAUAAAGAAAUAUUGAAAGAUAAAAUAGGAAAUGAAGAUAAUCGAUUGGUGUAGAAAAAGACCCUCAAAACUCAUUUUAUUCGAAAGGAUCAGGAGAUUCCGAUACAUCGUAGUUUUCAUUUCGAUUAAUUCUGCCGAUUUAUUGCUGUCACAAAGAAAUGAGAAACAUGAAUUCGCAUUGUGAAGCCACUAAUAUAUUUCCUGACCCUCUGUGGCAUUUUCGAAACUCAUUGUUUAUAUUAUUACAUACGUAUCUCAUUAUUAUAUUAUAUUGUUUACAUUCUCAAUGCAACAGUUCCAGCCGGGAGCUUCCCUGUCUCUAUUUCGCCUGUUCAUUGAUUUUGAAGAACCUCCUUCCCGCCCCUGCCCCCUUUUUUCAAAAAUCAAAUGUACGUCAGCGCAACCAACUGAUGAAACAUGAAACAAAACGCUAUUCCACAUUAUUCGGAAAAUUUCUUUCAAUGCCAAAAUCAUUUUCUUUGAAAUAUCAAAAUCAUUCUUCCAACUUACUUAGCUUUUAUAAUUGUAGAUAUCGCGAGGACGCCUUAAAGGUGCCAAAGAUACGUGCAAUAAAAUUUUUUUUCUAUGA